GAUGAACGCUAGCGGCAGGCCUAACACAUGCAAGUCGAGGGAGGAGCUUUCGGGCUUCGACCGGCGUACGGGUGCGUAACGCGUAUACAAUCUGCCUUUCACAUAGGGAUAGCCCGAAGAAAUUUGGAUUAAUACCUAAUGGUAUAUAGAGGUGGCAUCACCUUCAUAUUAAAGCUGAGGCGGUGAAAGAUGAGUAUGCGUUCUAUUAGCUAGUUGGAGAGGUAACGGCUCCCCAAGGCGACGAUAGAUAGGGGUUCUGAGAGGGAUAUCCCCCACACUGGUACUGAGAUACGGACCAGACUCCUACGGGAGGCAGCAGUGAGGAAUAUUGGACAAUGGUCGGAAGACUGAUCCAGCCAUGCCGCGUGCAGGAAGACGGCCUUAUGGGUUGUAAACUGCUUUUGCAGGGGAAGAAUAAGGACUACGCGUAGUUUGAUGACGGUACUCUGCGAAUAAGCAUCGGCUAACUCCGUG
rnacentral:rRNA from 1 species